UUACGGCCAUAUGUCGUUGAAAUACGGGUUCUCGUAUGAUCGCCGUAGUUAAACAACAUCAAGCCUGGUCAGAACCUCGAUGGGUGACCGCUUAGGAAUACCAGGUUCUGUA